rnacentral:rRNA from 1 species
ACGAACGCUGGCGGCAGGCUUAACACAUGCAAGUCGAACGGUUGUAGCAAUACAGCAGUGGCGCACGGGUGAGUAACGCGUGGGAAUGUACCAUUUAGUGGGGGAUAACUUCGGGAAACUGAAGCUAAUACCGCAUACGCCCUUAGGGGGAAAGAUUUAUCGCUAAAUGAUCAGCCCGCGUGAGAUUAGGUAGUUGGUGGGGUAAUGGCCUACCAAGCCUACGAUCUCUAGCUGGUCUGAGAGGAUGAUCAGCCACACUGGAACUGAGACACGGUCCAGACUCCUACGGGAGGCAGCAGUGGGGAAUAUUGGACAAUGGGCGAAAGCCUGAUCCAGCCAUGCCGCGUGAGUGAUGAAGGCUUUAGGGUUGUAAAGCUCUUUCGCCGAUGAAGAUAAUGACGGUAGUCGGAGAAGAAGCCCCGGCUAACUUCGU